GUCCAGACUCCUACGGGAGGCAGCAGUGGGGGAUAUUGCACAAUGGGGGAAACCCUGAUGCAGCGACGCCGCGUGUGGGAAGACGGUCUUCUGGAUUGUAAACCACUGUCCCCAGGGACGAAAAUGACGGUACCUGGGGAGGAAGCUCCGGCUAACUACGUGCCAGCAGCCGCGGUAAUACGUAGGUGGCAAGCGUUGUCCGGAUUUACUGGGUGUAAAGGGCGUGCAGCCGGGCUGACAAGUCAGAUGUGAAAUCCCGCGGCUCAACCGCGGAACUGCAUUUGAAACUGUCAGUCUUGAGUACCGGAGAGGUCAUCGGAAUUCCUUGUGUAGCGGUGAAAUGCGUAGAUAUAAGGAAGAACACCAGUGGCGAAGGCGGAUGACUGGACGGCAACUGACGGUGAGGCGCGAAAGCGUGGGGAGCAAACAGGAUUAGAUACCCGGGUA
rnacentral:rRNA from 1 species